rnacentral:rRNA from 1 species
CUACGGAGGGUGCAAGCGUUAUCCGGAUUUAUUGGGUUUAAAGGGUGCGCAGGCGGAUAAUUAAGUCAGUGGUGAAAUCCUCCCGCUCAACGGGAGAACUGCCAUUGAUACUGAUAAUCUGGAAUACGGUUGAAGUGGGCGGAAUGUAGCAUGUAGCGGUGAAAUGCAUAGAGAUGCUACAGAACACCGAUCGCGAAGGCAGCUCACUAAGCCGAUAUUGACGCUCAGGCACAAAAGCGUGGGUAGCGAACAGGAUUAGAAACCCCAGUAGUCC